rnacentral:rRNA from 1 species
AUUGAACGCUGGCGGCAGGCUUAACACAUGCAAGUCGAGCGGAAACGAUGGUAGCUUGCUACCAGGCGUCGAGCGGCGGACGGGUGAGUAAUACUUAGGAAUCUACCUAGUAGUGGGGGAUAGCUCGGGGAAACUCGAAUUAAUACCGCAUACGACCUACGGGAGAAAGGGGGCAGUUUACUGCUCUCGCUAUUAGAUGAGCCUAAGUCGGAUUAGCUAGAUGGUGGGGUAAAGGCCUACCAUGGCGACGAUCUGUAGCUGGUCUGAGAGGAUGAUCAGCCACACCGGGACUGAGACACGGCCCGGACUCCUACGGGAGGCAGCAGUGGGGAAUAUUGGACAAUGGGGGAAACCCUGAUCCAGCCAUGCCGCGUGUGUGAAGAAGGCCUUUUGGUUGUAAAGCACUUUAAGCAGUGAAGAAGACUCCGUGGUUAAUACCCACGGACGAUGACAUUAGCUGCAGAAUAAGCACCGGCUAACUCUGUGCCAGCAGCCGCGGUAAUACAGAGGGUGCAAGCGUUAAUCGGAAUUACUGGGCGUAAAGGGAGCGUAGGUGGCUCGAUAAGUCAGAUGUGAAAUCCCCGGGCUCAACCUGGGAACUGCAUCUGAUACUGUUGAGCUAGAGUAUGUGGGAGGAAGGUAGAAUUCCAGGUGUAGCGGUGAAAUGCGUAGAGAUCUGGAGGAAUACCGAUGGCGAAGGCAGCCUUCUGGCAUAAUACUGACACUGAGGCUCGAAAGCGUGGGUAGCAAACAGG